UAAAAUGAUAUUAUGCAGAAAAAUCUUAAUUGUUUUUACACUUUUCUGGGCAAAAGGAACUCUGAAAUAGUAAUGUGCAGAAAAUACCAUUAUUAAGAUUUUUAUGCUUUACAUCAUUUUAAUUAGGGCAUCAUACAAACCAUUUAUUUUCAUGCCAAUCAUUGAAUUUUGUUCUUUUUUCAAAUUGUUACCUGUUUUAGAGGCAAAAUCUUAAA